rnacentral:misc_RNA from 1 species
GAAAUGCGAUAAGUAAUGUGAAUUGCAGAAUUCAGUGAAUCAUCGAAUCUUUGAACGCACCUUGCGCUCCUUGGUAUUCCUUGGAGCAUGCCUGUUUGAGUAUCAUGAAAUCUUCAAAGUAAAUCUUUUGUUAACUCAAUUGGUUUCUACUUUGGUAUUGGAGGUCUUUGCAGCUUCACACCUGCUCCUCUUUGUUCAUUAGCUGGAUCUCAGUGUAAUGCUUGGUUCCACUCGGCGUGAUAAGUUAUCUAUCGCUGAGGACACUGUAAAAGGUGGCCAAGGUAAAUGCAGAUGAACCGCUUCUAAUAGUCCAUUGACUUGGACAAUACUUUUAUGAUCUGAUCUCAAAUCAGGUAGGACUACCCGCUGAACUUAAGC